GACGAACCGUGCGAACGUUGUUCGGAAUCACUGGGCUUAAAGGGCGCGUAGGCGGCCGAUCAAGUCCGGGGUGAAAUCCUCCAGCUCAACUGGAGAAGUGCCUCGGAUACUGAUUGGCUCGAGGGAGAUAGGGGUCGAGGGAACUUCUGGUGGAGCGGUGAAAUGCGUUGAUAUCAGAAGGAACACCAGUGGCGAAGGCGGCUCACUGGCCCGGUACUGACGCUGAGGUGCGAAAGCGUGGGGAGCAAACAGG
rnacentral:rRNA from 1 species